AACGAACGCUGGCGGCAGGCCUAACACAUGCAAGUCGAACGCCCUAGCAAUAGGGAGUGGCGCACGGGUGAGUAACGCGUGGGAACGUGCCUUUCAGUCUGGAAUAACUGCGGGAAACUGCAGCUAAUACCGGAUAUUCUCUACGGAGGAAAGAUUUAUCGCUGAAAGAUCGGCCCGCGUUAGAUUAGGUAGUUGGUGGGGUAAUGGCCUACCAAGCCUACGAUCUAUAGCUGGUCUGAGAGGAUGAUCAGCCACACUGGAACCGAGACACGGUCCAGACUCCUACGGGAGGCAGCAGUGGGGAAUAUUGGACAAUGGGCGCAAGCCUGAUCCAGCCAUGCCGCGUGAGUGACGAAGGCCUUAGGGUUGUAAAGCUCUUUUGUCGGGGAAGAUAAUGACGGUACCUGAAGAAUAAGACACGGCUAACUUCGUGCCAGCCGCCGCCGUAA
rnacentral:rRNA from 1 species